AUGCGCGUAGCUCAACGGGUAGAGCGGCGGUCUCCAAAACCGCAGGUCGUUGGUUCGGAGUCAACCGCGUAUGCCA
rnacentral:tRNA from 1 species